rnacentral:rRNA from 1 species
GACGAACGCUGGCGGCGUGCUUAACACAUGCAAGUCGAACGGAAAGGCCCUGCUUUUGUGGGGGGCUCGAGUGGCGAACGGGUGAGUAACACGUGAGUAACCUGCCCUGGACUUUGGGAUAACUUCAGGAAACUGGGGCUAAUACCGGAUAGGAGCUCCUGCUGCAUGGUGGGGGUGGGAAAGUUUCGGCGGUUGGGGAUGGACUCGCGGCUUAUCAGCUUGUUGGUGGGGUAGUGGCUUACCAAGGCUUUGACGGGUAGCCGGCCUGAGAGGGUGACCGGCCACAUUGGGACUGAGAUACGGCCCAGACUCCUACGGGAGGCAGCAGUGGGGAAUAUUGCACAAUGGGCGGAAGCCUGAUGCAGCAACGCCGCGUGCGGGAUGACGGCCUUCGGGUUGUAAACCGCUUUCGCCUGUGACGAAGCGUGAGUGACGGUAAUGGGUAAAGAAGCACCGGCUAACUACGUG